AUUACGUACCGUGCAUUCGAAGUGUGUAGGAGCGGAUUUAUUGGCAAGCGGCCAUUCGGGGGGGGUCCUACUACUAAAAUUACUUCAUAAAGGUCAUAUAGUGUGUACGAUAACUUCAAACUAGCUAGAAGGGCUCGUUUACUGCCCCUAAAUCUAUAAAUCCGCCCCUAAAAGUGAGUGUGCAUGGGCAUACAGUACAUACAUAAAAUGCGCUGUGUUAAAUGCCUCGUCAAUAUAAGAGGUUAUUAGGACAUCAUCAAUACAAGAAUUAUAAUGUUAAUGUUGUGGAAACAGUAAGAGAUGCAAUGAAAAUUGGAACACUAUCAGAGAUAAAAACAAUAUUCUGAGAUGCUUUUUCAUCUAUGAUACGUAGCCCCUUGUACUGUACCUAUCACUUUGCGUAAUAAAUUCAUUAAAAUACAUUGAAGUUGUAGGAAGGAGAGUCGUUCCAUCUAUGACAAAACUGUGGUCGAAUAGGAAUUAUGAAUGGAUUUUUCAACAAUAUCUUGUGCUAUGCCAUGAAUCUAAAAAGGUUGUGACAUCUUUUAAAUAUGAUUUCAUGAGGAAGAAGUGAAACAAAAAUGUUACCAAAUUGUUAAAGCCAAGGGAGUUCAUGCAGUAUUUCAUAUUAUAUUUACUAUUAACUUUUGUAAACAUAUAUUUCUAUAAAUCUUGUUGUUACUUGACAUUUUCAGAUCAAUUUGCACGCUACUGUAGUAGAAGCGACAUAUAACCUGGUGUAAUGUCUACAUUCUGUGUAUUGUCAAAAUAUACAUUUUUAUUAUUGAGUAAUCUCUAAAGGCAAAGAAACUGGUUAAGAAGUAUAGAGUCUGAUUUUUGAACGUAGUGGUUCCUAAAAAUUUGUGUGAAAGUCGAACUACAGAUUACAUUUCGGCAAAAAUUUCAAGUCAUUUUCUUACAAAUUCAUCUUUAGCCGGAAUCGUACGCUUAGAACAAAUUUAUCAAAAAUUACCAAUAAUACCACUCGAUGUUAUACUGUACUUCUUAUUCAUAAAAAUGCCUGUUUCUUGAUUUAAAGAAUUUGCCAAAGAUUGUAUAAAACAAUUAUAAAAUAUCGAAUCCGAAGAUGUAAUAUUAUCAUCCUUCAAUUAAUUCACUACGAAGAUUAAACUAGUUGAAGAAUUGUAGUCCAGCUUCACAAUAAAAUCGGCCAAAAGGAAUGAGGAAUAAAAAACGACAUCCUGAUCCAAAAUACAAUAAAAAUUUAUGAGAAUUCAGAUCAAAUUCAAACCAGAAUCUCUCAUUCUGUUGUUAAUAACUAUCGUAUUUUUAGAAGUAACUAUCGAUAAAGAGUCCUAUUAAAUAUAUUGAGAGUAUAAAAUAAUAUAAUUAAUUUUAUAAUCUUUUAAUCAAGUUUAA